rnacentral:rRNA from 1 species
UGCAAGACUAGAGUGUGGCAGAGAGAGAGUAGAAUUCCACGUGUAGCAGUGAAAUGCGUAGAGAUGUGGAGGAACACCGAUGGCGAAGGCAGCCCCCUGGGCCAAUACUGACGCUCAUGCACGAAAGCGUAGGAGAGCAAACAGGAUUAGAUACCCUGGUAGUCCACGCCCUAAACGAUGUCAACUAGGUGUUGGAAGGGUUAAACCUUUUAGUGCCGUAGCUAACGCGUGAAGUUGACCGCCUGGGGAGUACGGCCGCAAGGCUAAAACUCAAAGGAAUUGACGGGGACCCGCACAAGCGGUGGAUGAUGUGGAUUAAUUCGAUGCAACGCGAAAAACCUUACCUACCCUUGACAUGUCAGGAAUCCCGGAGAGAUUUGGGAGUGCUCGAAAGAGAACCUGAACACAGGUGCUGCAUGGCUGUCGUCAGCUCGUGUCGUGAGAUGUUGGGUUAAGUCCCGCAACGAGCGCAACCCUUGUCAUUAAUUGCCAUCAUUGAGUUGGGCACUUUAAUGAGACUGCCGGUGACAAACCGGAGGAAGGUGGGGAUGACGUCAAGUCCUCAUGGCCCUUAUGGGUAGGGCUUCACACGUCAUACAAUGGUCGGUCCAGAGGGUUGCCAACCCGCGAGGGGGAGCCAAUCUCAGAAAGCCGAUCGUAGUCCGGAUUGAAGUCUGCAACUCGACUUCAUGAAGUCGGAAUCGCUAGUAAUCGCGGAUCAGCAUGUCGCGGUGAAUACGUUCCCGGGUCUUGUACACACCGCCCGU